rnacentral:misc_RNA from 1 species
GAUGAAGAACGUAGCGAAAUGCGAUUCGUAAUGUGAAUUGCAAAUUCAGUGAAUCAUCGAGUCUUUGAACACACAUUGCGCCCCCUGGUAUUCCGGGGGGCAUGCCUGUCCGAGCGUCAUUGCUGCCCUCAAGCACGGCUUGUGUGUUGGGCCCCGUCCUCCGAUCCCGGGGGACGGGCCCGAAAGGCAGCGGCGGCACCGCGUCCGGUCCUCGAGCGUAUGGGGCUUUGUCACCCGCUCCGUAGGCCCGGCCGGCGCUUGCCGAUCAACCCAAAUUUUUAUCCAGGUUGACCUCGGAUCAGGUAGGGAUACCCGCUGAACUUAAGCAUAUCAAUAAGCGGAGGA